GACGUAGGGCGCGAGCGUUGUCCGGAUUUAUUGGGCGUAAAGAGCUCGUAGGCGGCUUGUUGCGUCGGCCGUGAAAACCCGUGGCUUAACUGCGGGCUUGCAGCUGAUACGGGCGGGCUAGAGUUCGGUAGGGGAGACUGGAAUUCCUGGUGUAGCGGUGAAAUGCGCAGAUAUCAGGAGGAACACCGGUGGCGAAGGCGGGUCUCUGGGCCGAUACUGACGCUGAGGAGCGAAAGCGUGGGGAGCGAACAGG
rnacentral:rRNA from 1 species